rnacentral:ribozyme from 1 species
CGCAGAGUGACGGGAGCUUUCUGCUCCCGGUAAUGCGGCGGCCCGGUCACAAGCCCGG